rnacentral:rRNA from 1 species
UACGUAGGGUGCAAGCGUUGCCCGGAUUUAUUGGGCGUAAAGGGCGCGUAGGCGGCUCUGCACGUCCGUUGUGAAAUCGCCCGGCUCAACUGGGCGGGGUCAGCGGAUACGGCAGAGCUUGAGCAAGCUAGGGGGCAAUGGAAUUCCCGGUGUAGUGGUGGAAUGCGUAGAUAUCGGGAGGAACACCAGUGGCGAAGGCGGUUGCCUGGGGCUUUGCUGACGCUGAUGCGC